UAAACAGGAAUAAACAAAUCUUAGAAAUUUAUUUUGUUAGUCAAAUAAUGGUAAAGAUGAGAAAAGAGGAAUGUCAUAUACUUCAUAUAUGUUGUUUUCUCAAUUUAAAAAGAAAAUUUUUGCUUGUGCUCAGGCUGUUUUUGUGGCUGAUGAUCUUUAGAAGGGUAAACCUUGUGUAGUGCUGGUCUCCCCUAGUGCCACCUUAAUCCUUUUUAUUACAGAUUAGAGAGAAAAAAGGAAAUGGGUGAACAACAUCUGAAUGCUGGCAAUGCUUCAGCCUCUCCUGAUUUUGGAUAGCACUGUCACAUGGAGUAACCUUGUGGCUCCUCUGUGUGAGGCCAAACACUGAUUUAGUACCUUGUGUCCUCAGCAGCCAGGGGGAAAGAAACCAUGCCAAAGGAAAGUAACUUUAAUAAAGUGUAUUAAUAGGCUAUUGUCUUGGUCAGCCUUAAUGCUAUAAAAUUCUGUUGUUUGGCAUGGCACCUUGCCAUGUGCCAAUCAAGAAACAUUUGUACUUGUUUCAUGAUACAUUUUGGGAUAGUAAAUGGAAUCUUCUGUUGUCCUGUGCAGAAAUGUUUGUUGACUGAAGGCCAAUCCUUCUUUCCUUUCAAUUAGAACAGCCUGGCUCUGUUUAAAAAGUGGUAGCUGUUUUCAGACAAGUAUGGUUUAGGAAGGGAUUAACUUCUUCACAGAGGAAGAGCCUCGCCCUUUCAGCCCACCUGUGGAACCAGCUAUGUGUAAGGACUGGAGAAAGUCAGUAAGGAAGUGCUGGAUGUAAGGCUGGGAGUUGUUCUCCACCAUUUCCCUAGGAUCUGGGAUUUGGAAACAGGAAAAGCAGUGGUGUGCUUGGCUGAAUCACUUCACUGUUACUGGAAAUGAGAAAUUAGCAGUGGGGCCACAGGCUCUGAGGAUGCUUUUCUGAAGGAUAGGAUAGGAAGUGGAAGAAAGCCACCAAGCUUUUUGGGGACCGAGGGCAGGAUACAGGCUGGCCAGCCGCUACUGAUACUGUGCUGGGAUUUCGUAGGUGAACAUCAACACUGAUCUCUUGCAGUCUGCAAAGAAUAGCAGUUAUUUAUAAACCUUUCACAAUUUUUCCUUGAUGGUGUUAGUCUGCCUUUUUAAUACUCCAAACAGAACAGGUGGGGCUCUUCAAAACACAUGCUAUUUUUAUCUCUGCAGUGGCUUUGUGUUUUGCCAAUGCUCUUUAAUACAAUUAACAAAGUUGCAGAUUUAGGAUCACUACUAUAUUUAAUUUUUCUGCAAUGACCCUUGUGUGAGCCUUUAUCCAAAAGCUGCUAUGCUGGAUUUUUCAUAGCCAGACCUGAUUUUGAAGACUGAGUAUCUUGUCUCUGAUAGUCACACUUUUCCUUACUUAGGAAAUAUUCCUGAUCUCAUGGUACAAACCGCCUUUAAAUAACCCAUCAUUAGAUGGGCAGUGUGACAAGACCUUGUAUUACAAGGUCUGUAUAUGUAUACAAUCUGUAUACAGAUUAUUACAAUUCUUAAGGAAAACUCUUUUCUGUCUUUACUAAAGUUCUGGAUAAGAUCUUUAGCUAGAGAAUGAACUUUGACUUGCUUUAUACUAUUAAAAACUAUUUUAAGUCAAUUUGACUCUUCUUUUUGUACCAGUGGUGAUGUAAUAAGAGUUUGGGCAGUCUGAAAUGAGUAUGUGUACAUAAACUACUGUGCAGAAAAAAACCUAAGUAUAAAGGCAUAAAUUAGUGUAUUUUAAACUAACUGUAUAAUAAGGAACCUAUUCAGUAAAGAAACUUUUGCCUAUUUUGUUGGUUGUUUUUUUUUUUCAGAGAUCCAUAUUUCUUUUAUGUCCAGUGUUUUUUCUCUAAAAGUUUUCUUCUUGUAUCCUCUGGUGUUCUAGCAUGCUUUAAUUUCACUGGUAGGUAUUAGAUAAAUAUAAAUUAUAAAUAUCUGUUACACAGUUAUCUAGAUUAAAUCAGCUGAAAUAGAUUGUCUUUUAUGCGUCUAGUCUAUAUAACUAUAUAGUUUAGUUUAAUUCCAGAAGCUAAAUUCCAGUUUAAUUCCAGAGGCACAAGGAAUUUUUUUGAACCUUAUGUGUCAAAAUAACAUUAAAAACCUGUUAGAACACUUUCUACCAUGCAUUCUGCUAUGCUUUGUCUGCACAUCAUGUCUUGCUUUAUGAAGCUUUGACUGUACAUCUUCUGGAAUAAAUGUUUAUUCCUGGAUAGCUAAGGGAGCCAUGAUUCUAUUAAACCUCGUGCUCUGCCUCUGCAGAUGAUCAUGUUGCUGGCAGGAGUCCUUGAAGUCCAGAAGUCCUCUCUUACUAUGCUCUUGUUAAUGUGAGCAGGAUUUGCUUUUUAUGACAGAGCAUCUUCAGCCAUUCCUUUCUGCUCUGCAUCAAUGCAAGGAAAAAGAACGAAGGAAAACAUAUUGGAAUGUCUUCCCAUGCUGCUGUCUCCCUAUGGUGAUUGAUUCGUGUCCUGUCAAGAGCUGCUUGCCUUGAUUGAUGUGUGCUGUGGUAGAGGGAUGUGCAGUGCUUGCUUGUUUGCAGUUCCAUGUACAACAGAAAUGUUCUUUGUAGCAUCUUUCUGUUUUGCUCUAGGAGCUGGGGUGUGGCUGGGCAGCAGAGAGGCAACCUUGUUACCUACAGAACCGGUUAGGUGAAUCCUCUAACAGGAAGACAAGGCAGCUGAGCGUGUUUGGCUAGGCAGGCUUUUGCCUGGCAUGCACAGAGACAGAGGGCUUCUGUGAAUAUCAGAGUAGACAAAAAGCCAAGCAUUGGAAAUGCUCCAGGAGAAGCCUUUCCUCAGAACCCAGAGUGUACUCUGGCUGCCAGACGUAUUAGAAGGAGGUGAAGAUUGUGAUGUCUUGGAAGCAGUGUGGCCUUGGAUCCAUCUAAGCCCAUUGGAAAGCUUCUGUCACUUUUUAUCAUUGCCCCAUCAGGCAGAAGAUAAGAUUUGCCUUGGAGAAGGACCACUAUGGCUGGGUUAUGAGGAUAAACGUGAUAUGAAGACUGCUGGGACUUUGUCUGACCAGGCCUGGAUUACUGUGGAUGGGCAGAAGUUCUUAGAAAAUCAAAAGAUAGGACUUGGAAGCUGAACAUUCUGGAUUCUUUGAAAAUUCUUGUUCCAAAAGUCUCUUUACAUAAAACUAUGUUUCUGAUUUCUUUUUAAGUGCAGUGAAUGAUUUUGUCGUAAGUUGUUCUGGGAGCUCUAUAAAUAUACAAUAUAAAUUAUGUUGUAUAUCUACUGAAUAUUAAUUUGAUUUGUUGAGCAGCAUUUAGAAUUACCCUCUUACAGCAGAUAAACAUAAUAUGAAUAUAUCUACAGCACAUUAGAGAGAUUUGGGGCUGAAACAAGGUUCAACCUGGAAGUAAGGUGGAAGAAGGUAACAUUUUCAAAUAAUAAACCUCACUAAGGAAUUUUACAUAGUUUCAUUUGAAAAUUAUGACUGUUUUCUUGGCUGACCCUGAUGCAUAUUGCAAUCUAUCACAUUUUCUAUCUCCUGCUGUUCAUCUUUCCCAACAUGGAUAGAAAGAAAAUUAUAUUGCCUUUGAAACAAUUAUUUUUUUUCUUGAUUAUUCUUGCUUCAGUAGUGAUAUUGAUGACAGUAUUGGAAAAUGUCCAGAGCCUCCCACACUCCCACCUAUAGCAAAUACAAAAAUUAGUAUAACUUUUCUUGGCCACAUUACCUACUGGGACACUGAGAUUAAGGUGAGGUAUACACAUUUACUGUGCCUAUAUACAGUGAAUAUCUGCAAAACUGAAAUGAAGUUAUCCACUUUGUAUUCUGUUCUGUUUUUAAUGUCUAUAUUUGAAGAUAAUUUUAUUAGAGUUGCACUUAACAAAGGGAAUAAACUACUUUUCAUAAAUUAGUACUUCACAUAUAGGGUGAAACUGUGCAGAUUGCAACUGAUUUGUAAAUGGAACUUGUCCACCUGUGCUCCUCUCAUGAUUUCAGUUUGCUGUGACUAUUUUUCACAACUAAUUAGAAACAGUUUUAUAGCAUUACUGUGUGCUAUUAUGUAUGUCCAGGUUUUACCCCAGAGGUAUUUGUAUUUCAGUUCUGAGUGAAAUUCUUCCUGUACAGUAGGUGAUUUGCAAGGUCCUUUGUAAUAUUUGUUGAUAGAAGGUGCUAUGUAAAUUAUUUUCACUACCAUAUGGCCUCUUCAUGUUUCCAGUUCAAAUCCAUGGGGAAAAAUCUCUCAGCAACAUCAACAGAAGCACAUCUGGUCCACACACACAGUCUGUGACAGAGUAUUCUUUUGGUUUGAUUAGUCUUUCUAUGCAAGUUCAAAUGUAUUGGACAUAAGAAGAAGAAACAAAGCUUCUCAAAAAUGAAAAGCACUCUACAAUGUGUUUGAGGUCUGCCAAACACUGUUCUCAGUAGAGACUAACAUUACAGAUUUUAAAGGGAUGUGAUGAGAGGGAAAACCACCUGUAAGGGAAGAGCUUACAAACCAUCUGGACUUCAGGUCAGUAGUUUGCUGCAGAAAUGCUCCAGACAUUGCAUUUUAAAAGAAAACAUUAUAUAUUUUACUAAGUUCUCCUUUUCCCCUGCUGCUGACCACUGGUGCACGGAUACAAAAGCAAGUGAUGAUUGUUGGUACAGUUAUGUUGUGUGAUGCUUUCAGUUGAGGGAAACAAGUACUUACCCAUGGGAUAUGCUGAUUAUCACGCCUGCAAUGCAGACAGAGCUUUCUUCUAUUGCAUACAGAAAAGCAUGCCAAACUUGUGUCAGUGAUUCUUUCCAUUGAGCCUCCUGCAUUCUGAAAACAUUUUCAAGAUAAAAAUGACAAUGCCAGUGAGAAUGAACCUUGACAGCAGUAUAAUGAAAUGUGUGGGAGGCUACACUCAAUCUGCAGACUUUGAAAGAAAAUUUUAUUCCACCUCCAGUCCUGCAAGAUGUGGUAUUGGACCAAGGACUUUCAGUACAAGUAGCAGCAGCGCACAGUUGAAUCCACACACAGUGAGAAUAAUCCCUUCUGGUGCAUGCAAUAUUAAUACUCCAGGGUUUUCUCCAUCUGUUGUCAUAUAUGCUUAAAGUGUACCUCUUUGGGGCAGGAUGUGACUUUAUUGUUUCAUGUAUUUACUUGUGCCUAGCACAGUCAGGCACUCUUAGGGGGAUAUAAUCACUACUGUAGUACAAAUAAUUUUUUUUUCUCUUGAAGAACUCACAAGAACGAAGGAAUGGUAUUACCCCGAGGCUGGAGAGUUGGAUUUGAUGGACCUUUCCAAUUUAGCAUAUUCUGUGAUUCAGUAUAAACUACUUCCUAAAAAUAGGUGUGGUUUUUUGUAACUGAAUGCAAAUAUAAAAGUUAUCUCAUUACUUUGCUUUAAUAAAGGUCCAGAUUUUCAUGCAAUAUAACUUGUAUAAAUCUACAAAAAAAUGUAAAAGAGCAGCAGAAGAGACUUUCUUUCAGUACUGGUGGGAAGAUAAAACCAAUAAUUAUGGUAAAUGUGGUGAAGGUAGGAAAAGAAAACUGGGCUUCCUGACAGCUCUUGGCUCUGAGAGGAUAUGCCACACAUGAUUUAUAAAGCAUGAUUUCUCCUAUAAAACCCAGGCAAAAACUCCUUAACCAGUUCUUUAACCCUGAGUACUAAGAAGCUGUAACUCAACAGCCAUGUUAAGAGCAUUCCUAUUAGUAAUCCUGCGGCAGUAAAGAGGCAGCUCUCAUGAUUAUAUUGCUGUGGGUUUAUAGUGCUUCAUGUGAAUUUUUUGUAAGUUAUAGUUAUUAAUGACUAAAAGGAAUCAGGAGAAGGGUAAUGAACUUUAAAUGGCUUCAAGUAAAAAAUGGAUGCUUGUCAAUUUUGAAGAAAUUCUAUGAGUCCUAAAUAUAAAAUUAGAUGAUUUAAUGGCCCUUUAUAGACCAUAUGUGUUAAUUAUAUUAAAAAUCUAGCAAGAUUAAAAAGUAGUUGCACAAAAGGAUGGUUUUGUGUCUAUACAGCAACUUCUAGAAGAAAAUUUUAUCCAAGGCUGCUUCUUUUUUUCCCUCUUGGUGUACUGUGUACCCUCAACAAUUAAUUCAAGAUGUUACUUUUUAGUUUAUGAAUAGGUCACAGAUAAGAAAUAGAUUAGACUCCUGUUUGCAUAAUCACUUAUCCUUUAUUGUCCUGCUAGCCUGCACUUUCUCAAGUGAGUGGUGAGCAUUUUUCCAGCAGUGUGUGCUUGAAAAGCAGAGGUAAGCAAUGUCCAGCUGGUUUGCUGCUCUGUUGAAGUAUGUUUGUGUUUGGCUGAUCUGAGGGGAGAAUUACAUUGCUCAUUGGGGAUGCUAAAAUGUUUGCUUGUGUCUUUUGGGUGAUGAAAAUGCAUUUCAAAUAUAUUCAAUUAAAAUGUUCCCUCCUGGGAUAA